CAGCGCGGCCCGGGCGGCAGCAGCUCCCGUCCUUUGUCCCCAGGAGUCUUUGAACACUUGGGCCUCCGCCGCAGCCGGUGCCGACCGGAAGCGCCGUGACUGAGCAUUGCAAGAGCUCGGACAAAGUGAGAGAUUUAAGGUACACAGUCCAUCAUUCCAAAAUGGCAAUAUGCAUUUGUGACCCUAAACAGUUCCCCGAUCAGAGAACUGCUCUACGGUCUUGAGAUUGAGAUCAGCAUGGUUUUAGCCUGUGAGAAGCUAUCUGAAAAGGAUGGAAUGCAUCAGCUGACAAUUCCCCACUUCAGUUUCACAGAAAAGGGUAGGUAUGAGGGACUUCACUUCUGUCCUUGUCUUCUCAAAACAAGAAACUGCAAUAUUGGAUUUUGCCUUCUGAUAUUAUUCUACAUGUCUAAUCUGAUGGGCUACUGAGAAACAAGCAAUACCAGCACUAGUAAGGUUUUUAUUUUUGGCAUGCUGUGUUCAGCAGCCAGUUAUAAUAAUGGGUUACAUGGCAGCAGCUCAUAACCAGAUAAUUAUGGGGGGAAAAAGCCCUAAACAUAACAACCUUCUGCUUUUCAAAUAACAACCUCAAGAACAUGAACAGUAUAUAAGCUGUAAGUUAUUCUUCAGCAACUUCUAUGACUAAAACAGUAUUUUCAAGCUCUGCUUAGAUGAAGCCAUACAGAUUUGUCUAUACAGGAAGCUCAUCAAACUGCUGCUUCAACAGAUGGGACAGCAUUAGUCCGUGCUCCUUCCACACAGUCCAUUCAGAUGUUACACACAUUAGCACAGUGCUAUUGUACCUGUUUGCUUUACAAUUAAUCAUUUCUUAUUCCUUCCAGUUUAAUAUAACCAUCACAAAAGUAGGAUUCUUACCCCUUUUUUUCAGGCUCACUACAACUGCCAGUAGUUAAACCAGCUAGUCCCCAUUGGUUUUCUUUUGUGUAGUACCCAAUACCAGCAUGUGCAGGGACAGCGUGCAGUAGAUGUCAUGAAGUCCCAUGGUGUAUGCACACAGCUUACACAGCCAUUCCAGUAUCAGUAUGCAGCAUCCCUCACACAGCACACACUUUCCUCCUUCUGUUACUGUCUAACACUUAGACAUCAUACCUAAAAUUUCAGAGCAUUUAUAGCCAUUGCCUGUCUAGGUCUCAGAGAGGCCCUGAGGCAGACACUAUUGUCCCAUUUUACAUGUGGGGAAACUGAGGCAGGAGUAUUAAUGGCUUGUCCGAUACUGCAAAUAAAAGCCCAUCUAAAAGUUCCCACUUCAAUAUUAUGGCUGUAAAUUGGUUGUAUCUAAGAUACCAAAAUCAUGGCAACAAACCAUGCUUCAGAAUACUAAGCCUUCAUUGUUAUAAUUUUCAUUAUUAUUAUUACUAUUAUUAUUUCUAUAGACUACAAAUCAGGUAUGGUAGCAGCAGUUCUUUUGCUUUAUACCAAGAGGUAAGAGACUCCAGAUGAAACAUGGGAUUAAGAAACGAUGGUAGAAAAUAAUUCAAAACCCAACCAGUGAUGAAUUCUGUUUAAUACCAGAAAAGCCAAAAAAACCACUCUUCAGACCAAAAAGCAUUAAUUGAAAGGGAAAAAAAAAACAAAAAAAAAACAA